UAGUAUAGUAUAAAAAAUUUAUGCAUUUAAUUAGGGUAAAAUUGAAUUAAAUAAAGAAUAUCAAUUAACAAACGCAUAACUCGUACUGAGCUGUAAUUCGCACGGAGAACAAACUUACUUUUGGAGGUUUAAUCUGGUCCUGAUUGUUCCGAAAUGGAUACGUCGUCACGUGAUCGAUGAUUGUCAAUAGGUCUUCACAAUCCUUAUCUUGUACCGAGUGCCCUUUUGUCAUGUUUGUCAUGUUGUAGAGAACCACUCUCCGUCCCUCUUCCUUAUAUUGCUCUGGCAUGAUUGCAACUCCUUUCCAAAGAGGGCGUCACUCGCCCGGGACAGCACAGAUUCGAAGAGUUUCUCCAAUUAGAGGCCCCUUCAACUAACUUGGAAGGUGAUUCAAGGGGGAAAAGGAAGCUGUGUUAUAAGGAAUCACUCUUUGAAAGGCAACGCAACGAGAAUGAUAUGCAGGUGGAUGACGCAGAUAAAGCAGUUGGCUCUGUGUUCAGGGGGAAGCUCUCGUGGUCAGGCACCAGAACCCAGUGACGACAAGGAAUCAGACGAUGAGAGUGAUUCUUCCAAGGGACCGGUGAUCUGUUUCACGUACAAAAGAAGAUAUCAGAAAGUUUAGGGAACCAUGGCGGGGGUUCCUUGACCUUACGUUUGGGAGUUUUUUAGAGAAGAAGAGGGAGGGAGAAUAUUUAUAGUAAGCUCCUUCACCUAUCCCUAGUACUUUUUGAGGAACUUUGAUCUUCUUGCGUUAUCCUGUUUGCAGUUGAACGACUGUUAUCGAGCUAUCAAAAAAAGAAGGCUGAUUUAAUUCAA